UACGUAGGGUGCGAGCGUUAAUCGGAAUUACUGGGCGUAAAGGGUGCGCAGGUGGGUUUGCAAGUUCGAUGUGAAAGCCCCGGGCUUAACCCGGGAAUGGCAUUGGAUACUGCAGAUCUGGAGGAUCGGAGGGGGGACUGGAAUUCUUGGUGUAGCAGUGAAAUGCGUAGAUAUCAAGAGGAACACCAGUGGCGAAGGCGAGUCCCUGGACGAUACCUGACACUGAGGCACGAAAGCUAGGGGAGCAAACAGG
rnacentral:rRNA from 1 species